rnacentral:rRNA from 1 species
ACCCCUAGUUCGGAUUGUAGGCUGCAACUCGCCUACAUGAAGCUGGAAUUGCUAGUAAUCAUAGGUCAGCAUACUAUGGUGAAUACGUUCCCGGGUCUUGUACACACCGCCCGUCACACCAUGGGAGUCAGCAACGCCCGAAGCCGGUGACCCAACCGAAAGGAGGGAGCCGUCGAAGGUGGGGCCGAUAACUGGGGUGAAGUCGUAACAAGGUAAC